AAUGUUCUUAAGGUAUGAAAAUUGUUCAUCACACAUCCUGAUUGUAUAGGAAACUAGCUUGAAACAAUCCUACUAAUAGUGCUUCACACGUCUGUAUAAACGCGGUCAAUGCUAUGAGCGUCCUUUUACAGUCAGCGAUAACGUUUCUGCCUUACAAUGCACAGAUAUGAGAAAUAAACUAGUCCAUAGGUUUUCUCUGCGAGUGUUGAAUGUUUCAUGUUAACCAACAUUUCGGCAAACAAUGUAAUUUCGGUCUGGAAUUAAUAGAUACGAAAUUUGUGGAAACAUCUUCCCAUCGGAUCACGCCAUUGAAUACAGUGAAGAAGUGAAGGCCGCGACAUCCCAGAAGACAGGAAUCUUCGUAUCUGUCGCCGUGUGAACAUGAAAUCUUACCCUCAAUCUGUGUAAUUCCUUCCGCUGACUGUGAAUAUCCUUUCCCACAAGCAAAUAGUUUUUGUGCCACAUGUCGAAAUAUGUGCAAUGCAAAUCAAAAGUUUAAGACAGUAAGCUUAAGUUUUAUACGCAAAUUUUAAAUGCCAGUUUAUUCAUCUUAUGAUAAGUUUCUCAACUUAAACCUUGCACCAAUUUGCAGGGAAGUAUCUGAACCUGGUAAUGUAAGAUAAGAGAGAUGUAAAAUACAGACUGCCUUAUUCAAAGGGCAAUAACCCAUUUCUUUUCCAGCAGAAACUAAAGCUAUCUGAGACAGAUACUAGAUACAAGGCACUUCUUAUUUUCUCUCACUUCAAGUACUUGACCUUCAGACGAGGACCGAAGAAUACAAAGUUUCCCAUUAGACCAUAUUCUGAGCCAGCUUAAUACAGUCUAUACCCUCACACACCACCUAAGAUCCAUUUUAAUAUUAUCCAUCAUGUUUCUGUCAAGCCAUAUUGUAGCAUGAGAUUACUUAUACCAAUAUUAUAUUUUAGCAGAGGUCGUAGAACAAUGAUUUUUAUUGAAGUACACUUUGAAGUGUGGUGUAUUUGUGUAUUUUUGUAAAUCAUGGCCACCUUUUUAAACCCUGAGUUGCUUGCAUUAUAAUAAAUUAACAGAUGCCACCUUUGAGGAUGACCUUUCAAGGGUUGAAACAUAUUUGAUCAUCAGAAUUUAUACGUCAAAUGUAUCUAGAACAUGUUCGUAUACCUGAGCUCGAUCCUUGAAAGUUUGAGUUCCGAUGGGGACGUCGAGCUGAAGAAGAGGUAUCUCCACAUUCACUGCUUGUGUUUGUCAGUUUGGUUUAUGGUACUGACACAAAAAAUUGGAUCACACAUUACCAGAUGGUGUUAGACUGAAAAAAUAAACGUGAAAAGAAGUAAUUGGUAACGUUUUAAGAUGUAUACUUAUGAUGUGAGCAAAACACUAGCACUUUUCAAUGCAUGGUCUUCAAACUCUGUAUAGUGAGAGAUCUCUGAAACGUAAUUAAACUAUUUAAAAAAAAAAAAAUGGAAAAUAACUUAUAAACUGG